rnacentral:tRNA from 1 species
GCCGUUUUAGCUCAGGGGUAGAGCAACUCACUCGUAAUGAGUAGGUCCGGGGUUCAAAUCCCCGAAACGGCUCCA